UACGAAGGGGGCUAGCGUUGUCCGGAAUCAUUGGGCGUAAAGAGCGUGUAGGCGGCUCGGUAAGUCCGCUCUGAAAGCCCGGGGCUCAACCCCGGGAGGCGGGCGGAUACUGUCGGGCUAGAGUCCGGAAGAGGCGAGUGGAACUCCUGGUGUAGCGGUGAAAUGCGCAGAUAUCAGGAAGAACACCAAUGGCGAAGGCAGCCCCCUGGUUGGAUACUGACGCUGAUACGCGAAAGCGUGGGGAGCAAACAGG
rnacentral:rRNA from 1 species